AAAAUCCGUUCCCAUGCAACUGAUGUAACCUGCUGUGGGAGAUAGUCCAUUGCUAUUUUGGCUAGAAUUGGAAAUUUAUUAUGAUCUCUUCCAAUCAGUCUAGUAUGUUGGAAUUAUUUGAUAUAAAAUAUCAGCAACAGUUAUGAAGACAUUAUCCGCGGCAGGAUCUGUAAGAGAUAUAUUCCUGUGUUCAUCUUUGAACAUAAGGGCCAAAGAUAUUCUAUAUUCGAGAUGGGGAGUCACUUUAGGAAAUGUGAAAGCUGUCACAGAUUUCUAUAAUAUAUUGUGCUUGUUUAUGUGAGAUCAUGUCUGGACGGGUAGGCAAUAGUUCAAUGCGGUAACCAACAAUAUUUUUAAAUGCAUCUGUAUUUUCCAAGUGAUGAAUACUCCAAAGUACGAAUAUACCUAAUUGUCCAUUAUACUUUGGUUCCAAAUAUAAUUUGACUACAGCGUUAGUUAUCCUAGGAGCAAGCGAGAAAUUAUCUGUCAUAAAAAACAUAUUUAUAUUAAACCCCCAUAAGUUGACUGUAUUGCCAUAAUGUUACGGCUUAUUCAUACAAUUCUUUAGGUUUAUGUAACCUACAAAAAGAUAAUGCUAUUGACUUUUCAAUUGAAUAAUAAUAAUUUGAAAAAAAUUUCACAAUAUGGAAUUUCAUAAUAUAAAAGAUGUAAUUUUUUUAAAUUUAUAAUAUACCAAUUUUGAUC